CAUGCAAGUCGAACGGAAAGGCCCUUCGGGGUACUCGAGUGGCGAACGGGUGAGUAACACGUGGGUGAUCUGCCCUGCACUUUGGGAUAAGCCUGGGAAACUGGGUCUAAUACCGAAUAUGACCACGCUCUUCAUGGGGUGUGGUGGAAAGCUUUUGCGGUGUGGGAUGGGCCCGCGGCCUAUCAGCUUGUUGGUGGGGUAAUGGCCUACCAAGGCGACGACGGGUAGCCGGCCUGAGAGGGUGACCGGCCACACUGGGACUGAGAUACGGCCCAGACUCCUACGGGAGGCAGCAGUGGGGAAUAUUGCACAAUGGGCGCAAGCCUGAUGCAGCGACGCCGCGUGAGGGAUGACGGCCUUCGGGUUGUAAACCUCUUUCACCAGGGACGAAGCGCAAGUGACGGUACCUGGAGAAGAAGCACCGGCCAACUACGUGCCAGCAGCCGCGGUAAUACGUAGGGUGCGAGCGUUGUCCGGAAUUACUGGGCGUAAAGAGCUCGUAGGUGGUUUGUCGCGUUGUUCGUGAAAACUCACAGCUUAACUGUGGGCGUGCGGGCGAUACGGGCAGACUAGAGUACUGCAGGGGAGACUGGAAUUCCUGGUGUAGCGGUGGAAUGCGCAGAUAUCAGGAGGAACACCGGUGGCGAAGGCGGGUCUCUGGGCAGUAACUGACGCUGAGGAGCGAAAGCGUGGGGAGCGAACAGGAUUAGAUA
rnacentral:rRNA from 1 species